rnacentral:rRNA from 1 species
CCUACGGGUGGCAGCAGUGAGGAAUAUUGGUCAAUGGACGAGAGUCUGAACCAGCCAUGCCGCGUGCAGGACGACGGCUCUAUGAGUUGUAAACUGCUUUUGUACGAGGGUAAACGCAGAUACGCGUAUCUGUCUGAAAGUAUCGUACGAAUAAGGAUUGGCCAACUCCGUGCCAGCAGCCGCGGUAAUACGGAGGAUUCAAGCGUUAUCCGGAUUUAUUGGGUUUAAAGGGUGCGUAGAAUGUCGGAUAAGUUAGAGGUGAAAUCCCGAGGCUCAACUUCAGAAUUGCAUCUGAUACUGUUAGGCUAGAGAGUAGUUGCGGUAGGCGGAAGGUAUGGUGUAGCGGUGAAAUGCUUAGAGAGCAUACAGAACACCGAUUGCGAAGGCAGCUUACCAAGCUACUUCUGACGUUGAGGCACGAAAGCGUGGGGAGCAAACAGGAUUAGAUACCCUAGUAGUC